GGUGGCAGGCGGGCAGCCUACCGAAAGGAGGAAGCUCCUCUCAUACAGAGUGCACCAGGGCUUAAGGCCCUAUUCGGAACAGAAACGAUACCGGAGCAAUGCAUGGGCGAUGACACUACGAGCGCAUUGCAAUGGAUGAAACGCGCCGAUGCGGUGCACAGUGAGUAUGCAAGGCCUUGUGCCGCUCAGACUAAUGCUGCCUAAAACAGAAAGAGGGCUACGGCCUGCCACU
rnacentral:RNase_P_RNA from 1 species